GCCACGUCACGUUGAAACACCAGUUCUCAUACGAUCAACAAUGUUAAGCAACGUCGAGCCUGGUCAGUACCUAGAUGGGAGAUUCAGUUGGGAAUAACUGGUACUGUAAG